ensembl:Mt_tRNA
CAAAGUGUAGCUUAAGCCACAAAGCACCCGGCUUACACCCGGAAGAUUUCACAAAUGACCACUUUGA